UCCAGGCCCUACGGGGUGCAGCAGGCGCGAAUACUCCGCAAUGCGGGAAACCGCGACGGGGCUACCCCGAGUGCCGGGCGAAGAGCCCGGCUUUUGCCCGGUGUAAGGAGCCGGGCGAAUAAGCGGGGGGUAAGUCUGGUGUCAGCCGCCGCGGUAAUACCAGCCCCGCGAGUGGUCAGGGUGAUUACUGGGCUUAAAGCGCCCGUAGCCGGCCCGGCAAGUCGCUCCUGAAAUCCCCGGGCUCAACCCGGGGGCGGGGGGCGAUACUGCCGGGCUAGGGGGCGGGAGAGGCCGCCGGUACUCCGGGGGUAGGGGCGAAAUCCGAUAAUCCCCGGAGGACCACCAGUGGCGAAAGCGGGCGGCCAGAACGCGCCCGACGGUGAGGGGCGAAAGCCGGGGGAGCAAAGGGGAUUAGAUACCCCUGUAGUCCCGGCCGUAAACGAUGCGGGCUAGCUGUCGGCUGGGCUUAGGGCCCGGCCGGUGGCGUAGGGAAACCGUUAAGCCCGCCGCCUGGGGAGUACGGCCGCAAGGCUGAAACUUAAAGGAAUUGGCGGGGGGGCACCACAAGGGGUGAAGCUUGCGGCUUAAUUGGAGUCAACGCCGGAAACCUUACCCGGGGCGACAGCAGGAUGAAGGCCAGGCUAACGACCUUGCCGGACGAGCUGAGAGGAGGUGCAUGGCCGUCGUCAGCUCGUGCCGUGAGGUGUCUGGUUAAGUCCAGCAACGAGCGAGACCCCCACCCCUAGUUGCUUCCCCGCUCUUCGGGGCGGGGGGCACACUAGGGGGACUGCCGGCGUAAGCCGGAGGAAGGAGGGGGCCACGGCCGGUCAGUAUGCCCUGAAACCCCGGGGCUGCACGCGAGCUGCAAUGGCGGGGACAGCGGGAUCCGACCCCGAAAGGGGGAGGCAAUUCCGUAAACCCUGCCCCAGUAGGGAUCGAGGGCUGUAACUCGCCCUCGUGAACGUGGAAUCCCUAGUAACCGCGUGUCACCAACGCGCGGUGAAUGCGUCCCUGCCCCUUGCACACACCGCCCGU
rnacentral:rRNA from 1 species